ACACGUAGGGGCCUGACGUUGUUCGGAAUCAUUGGGCGUAAAGGGCGCGCAGGCGGCCGUCCAAGUCCGGUGUUAAAUGGUCGGGCUCAACCCGAUCAUGUGCUGGAAACUGGGCGGCUUGAGUCCCGUAGGGGAUGCCGGAAUUCCAGGUGUAGGGGUGAAAUCUGUAGAUAUCUGGAAGAACACCGAUGGCGAAGGCAGGCAUCUGGCCGGAGACUGACGCUGAGGCGCGAAGGCGCGGGGAGCGAACAGGUUUAGAUACCCUGGUAGUCCGCGCAGUAAACGAUGCGCACCAGGUGUCGGGCGGCAGCGCCCGGUACCGGAGCUAACGCGAUGAGUGCGCCGCCUGGGGAGUAUGCCCGCAAGGGUGAAACUCAAAGGAAUUGACGGGG
rnacentral:rRNA from 1 species